AGCUGAUUCCGAACGACCUCGUCUGUGAGAUAAACGUGUUCUAACACAUUUGUAGUCAAUAAAAUGUCAACACAACCGUACAUAUUUAACCAUUUAAUUUUCGUAAUUUAGGGCAAGCCGGGCUUCCCCUGAAGUCUAUAAGAAAUCGCCACUGCUGUGAAAAAUAUGU